rnacentral:rRNA from 1 species
CCCUUAGAUGUCAUGGGCCGCACGCGUGCUACACUGAUGCAUACAGCGAGUACUCCCAGCUCCGAGAGGCUGCUGGUAAUCAGCAAUAUGCAUCGUGAUGGGGAUAGAUCUUUGGAAUUAUAGAUCUUGAACGAGGAAUUCCUAGUAAUCGCAGGUCAUCACCCUGCGUUGACUAAGUCCCUGCCCUUUGUACACACCGCCCGUCGCUCCUACCGAUUUCGAGUGAUCCGGUGAAUCAUUCGGACCGCGGCCCCUAGGCAUGCGGAAAGUCUAGUAAACCAUAUCACUUAGAGGAAGGAGAAGUCGUAACA